UACGUAGGGGGCAAGCGUUGUCCGGAAUCAUUGGGCGUAAAGAGCGCGUAGGCGGCCCAGUAAGUCCGCUCUGAAAGUCAGGGGCUCAACCCCUGGAUGCGGGUGGAUACUGCUGGGCUAGAGUCCGGAAGAGGCGAGUGGAAUUCCUGGUGUAGCGGUGAAAUGCGUAGAUAUCAGGAGGAACACCGGUGGUGUAGACGGCUCUCUGGACCGUAACUGACGCUGAGACACGAAAGCGUGGGUAGCAAGCAGG
rnacentral:rRNA from 1 species